CAAUAGCGUAUAUUAAAGUUGUUGCGGUUAAAAAGCUCGUAGUUGGAUUUCUGCCGAGGACGACCGGUCCGCCCUCUGGGUGAGUAUCUGGCUCGACCUGGGCAUCCUUCCAGAGAAUGUGUCUGCUCUUGACUGAGUGGUGCAGUAUCUGGAACUUUUACUUUGAGGAAAUUAGAGUGUUUCAAGCAGGCAUACGCCUUGAAUACAUUAGCAUGGAAUAAUAAGAUAGGACCUCGGUUCUAUUUUGUUGGUUUCUAGAGCUGAGGUAAUGAUUAAUAGGGAUAGUUGGGGGCGAUUCGUAUUUAAACUUGUCAGAGGUAGAAUUCUUGGUAUUUAGUUAAAGAACGGACUACUGACGAAAG
rnacentral:rRNA from 1 species